GACGAACGCUGGCGGCGUGCUUAACACAUGCAAGUCGAACGAUGAAGCCUGGCUUGCUAGGUGGAUUAGUGGCGAACGGGUGAGUAAUACGUGAGUAACCUACCUUUAACUCUGGGAUAAGCCCGGGAAACUGGGUCUAAUACCGGAUACGACCAAUCUCCGCAUGGGGUGUUGGUGGAAAGCGUUAUGUAGUGGUUAUAGAUGGGCUCACGGCCUAUCAGCUUGUUGGUGAGGUAACGGCUCACCAAGGCGACGACGGGUAGCCGGCCUGAGAGGGUGACCGGCCACACUGGGACUGAGACACGGCCCAGACUCCUACGGGAGGCAGCAGUGGGGAAUAUUGCACAAUGGGCGCAAGCCUGAUGCAGCGACGCCGCGUGAGGGAUGACGGCCUUCGGGUUGUAAACCUCUGUUAGCAGGGAAGAAGAGAGAUUGACGGUACCUGCAGAGAAAGCGCCGGCUAACUACGUGCCAGCAGCCGCGGUAAUACGUAGGGCGCGAGCGUUGUCCGGAAUUAUUGGGCGUAAAGAGCUUGUAGGCGGUUUGUCGCGUCUGCUGUGAAGGCCGGGGCUUAACUCCGUGUAUUGCAGUGGGUACGGGCAGACUAGAGUGCAGUAGGGGAGACUGGAAUUCCUGGUGUAGCGGUGGAAUGCGCAGAUAUCAGGAGGAACACCGAUGGCGAAGGCAGGUCUCUGGGCUGUAACUGACGCUGAGAAGCGAAAGCAUGGGGAGCGAACAGGAUUAGAUACCCUGGUAGUCCAUGCCGUAAACGUUGGGCACUAGGUGUGGGGAACAUUCCACGUUUUCCGCGCCGUAGCUAACGCAUUAAGUGCCCCGCCUGGGGAGUACGGCCGCAAGGCUAAAACUCAAAGAAAUUGACGGGGGCCCGCACAAGCGGCGGAGCAUGCGGAUUAAUUCGAUGCAACGCGAAGAACCUUACCAAGGCUUGACAUAUACUGGACCGCACCAGAGAUGGUGUUUCCCUUCGGGGCUGGUAUACAGGUGGUGCAUGGUUGUCGUCAGCUCGUGUCGUGAGAUGUUGGGUUAAGUCCCGCAACGAGCGCAACCCUCGUUCUAUGUUGCCAGCACGUAAUGGUGGGGACUCAUAGGAGACUGCCGGGGUCAACUCGGAGGAAGGUGGGGAUGACGUCAAAUCAUCAUGCCCCUUAUGUCUUGGGCUUCACGCAUGCUACAAUGGCCGGUACAGAGGGUUGCGAUACUGUGAGGUGGAGCUAAUCCCUAAAAGCCGGUCUCAGUUCGGAUUGGGGUCUGCAACUCGACCCCAUGAAGUCGGAGUCGCUAGUAAUCGCAGAUCAGCAACGCUGCGGUGAAUACGUUCCCGGGCCU
rnacentral:rRNA from 1 species